rnacentral:lncRNA from 7 species
CUAACAAUUAAUUAAGUAAAUAAAACAUGUGUCAUGACGAAAUAAUAUUUUUAAUGUGUGCACGAUAUUAUUACGAAGCUAACACGAUUAAAACGAAAAGAAUCAGACCCCUAACACAAAAGAUAUAGAGUAACUAAAUUUCUGUGGAUUCAACGCGACGUGGCGCGAUUCUAUUGGCUGGAUUGAGGCUACACGAAGGGUCACAUAUUUUUCAGCCACAAAUGAUCCAACACUAAGCCAUGACGUGGAGGUCAGCUUUCCUGCUGGUUGCAUGCAUUUGGUGGGACCUACCGGUGGUUUUUCCUUUCUUCUACACGCAUCCUCCCCAGCAUCUAACAACACCACGCACAUGGGGGCUCGGCCAGGGAGAACAGCUACCUAUCGGCCGGCUUGCUGCUGCGGCUUGCCUGCGGGGAGGGAGGAGAGCGAGAUAAACGAGGGGAGGAGGGGGUAGACGAUCUCACCUCACCAGACCAUCACAAGUCACGAUGACGCACGGCGAGGAGAAACGUGGACAGCAGGUCCGCGAAGCUCCGGUGGAGAAGGUGCUAGGCGUCGGAGUUUCUUCAACCGCUCGCCAGGGCCUGCCCGUCGCGCUGGGCAUGCGCAGGCUGCCGUACGUGCGCACCCGCCGGCCACCACGGGACGCCGGGGCACCGCGCAGGGCGAGCCGUGCCGGGCUGCUGGUUGCCG